CGCGUAGGCGGCCUGGUAAGUCAGAUGUGAAAGUCCGGGGCUCAACCCCGGAAGGGCAUUUGAAACUAUCAGGCUUGAGUAUGGGAGAGGGAAGUGGAAUUCCUGGUGUAGAGGUGAAAUUCGUAGAUAUCAGGAGGAACACCGGUGGCGAAGGCGACUUCCUGGACCAAUACUGACGCUGAGGCGCGAAGGCGUGGGGAGCAAACAGGAUUAGAUACCCUGGUAGUCC
rnacentral:rRNA from 1 species